rnacentral:rRNA from 1 species
CAGGGAUUGCCUCAGUAACGGCGAGUGAAGCGGCAACAGCUCAAAUUUGAAAUCUGGCGCCCCCCGGCGUCCGAGUUGUAAUUUGUAGAGGAUGCUAUUGGGUUGCCACCGGUCUAAGUUCCUUGGAACAGGACGUCACAGAGGGUGAGAAUCCCGUACGUGACCGGCCAGGCGCUCUCUGUAUAGCUCCUUCGACGAGUCGGGUUGUUUGGGAAUGCAGCCCUAAAUGGGAGGUAAAUUUCUUCUAAAGCUAAAUACCGGCCAGAGACCGAUAGCGCACAAGUAGAGUGAUCGAAAGAUGAAAAGCACUUUGGAAAGAGAGUUAAAAAGCACGUGAAAUUGUUGAAAGGGAAGCGCUUGCCAUCAGUCUCGACGGCGGCUGUUCGGCCUCUCUUCUGAGUGGUUUAUUCAGUCGCCGCCGGGCCAGCAUCAGUUUCGGCGGCCGGACAAAGGCGCGGGGAAUGUAGCUCCCUCGGGAGUGUUAUAGCCCCGCGUGCAAUACGGCCCGCCGGGACUGAGGUCCGCGCUUCGGCUAGGAUGCUGGCGAAAUGGUGGUAAGCGGCCCGUCUUGAAACACGGACCAAGGAGUCUAACAUCUACGCGAGUGUUUGGGUGUCAAACCCGUGCGCGCAAUGAAAGUGAACGGAGGUGGGAACCGCAAGGUGCACCAUCGACCGAUCCUGAUGUCUUCGGAUGGAUUUGAGUAAGAGCGUAGCUGUUGGGACCCGAAAGAUGGUGAACUAUGCCUGAAUAGGGUGAAGCCAGAGGAAACUCUGGUGGA